UUUCCAAAAUAAUGAGCCGGAACAUUUUGGCCUCGAAACCAUCGAAAAACCCAUCUCUUUCAUUUCUGUCUCCUCUCUCCUCCCUCCUCUUCCUCCCUCCUCUUUCCACAACCAUGGUGGUCAGAUUCUCUUUUCUCCGGUGAAGAAAUCAUCCAGUACGGACCUUCCAAAAUCUAACUCCAAUCUUUUGCCUUAAUUUUCUCUCUUAGGGUUUUCGUUUCAAUUAUUUCGUAAUUAUUCCGGGGUCUUUGUUUUUCUGGAAGACCGGGUUGUUGGUUGGAAAUACUGGUUUGGGUUCAUUCUUUGAUUUUCCCUUUAUCUAAACCUUGCUGGUUGCAACUUCAAUGGACCAAUACCUUUCAAUCUCUCUCAUUGUUUUGUUGCAGUUGAGAGUUUCUAGCAUCUUGAGCAAUUCUCCUUACACACUGGUCCUGAUAAAUCAAGGAUGAUGAGGGUUUGGAUGUCGGCGAUAUUCUGAUUCUGAUAUGGUAAACUAAAAAUAAUGCUCAAAUAGUUACUUAUUUUAGUCUAUUAGCUCAAAUGGUAGAGCAAUGUGUAUUUACACAUGGAUGUAGGUUCAAGUCCUACAUAGACUAAAUUAAUUUUGAUAAUUUUACAGAUUUACAGUUA